rnacentral:ribozyme from 1 species
ACCAGUUCUGCAAAAGGGUUGGAUCCGACGCCUUUUGGAGGAUACUAUAGGCUCUCCUUCCCAACUCCUACUCAAUACGUCCACGUCGUGCAGAACGGUAACUUGUCGCCCAGAUCCAAGCUUGGGUACACGGGGAAACCCAACUCCUUGUGUUAUGGCCCAACCUGCCUAACCAACCUGAG